ensembl:lncRNA
CUUGAAAUGUCCCCGUCCCAUUUUCCCCUUUGUUUUUUCUCUGUGCUGUAAAUCUUCUGUCCAAGAAGAAAUCUGCUGCUGUUCUGAGAAUGAGCUACCAAAGCUUUUUCUGAAUAAAUCAAUAAAGAUCCAUUUAUGGAAAGCUGUGAUGAAGGCAGUUUUGUCUUUAAUUAUAUUCAACAAUAUAACACAUUUGACCACUUUUAAAUGAUUUUUCUAACUUUAAUACACUACAGUUAAGGUUAUAUACCUAAUUUAUAGUAAGUGGCCCAGCCCCUCCUAUAUUUUUAUGUAUGUGGCCCUCAGUGAAAAAAGUUUGGACACCCCUGCCUUAUGAUACAAAGCAUCUUGAGGUGACUGUUAAGCUGCAUUGAUUCAUUCACAGACACUCACAUAUUAUACUCUUCUUACUGUGCUGAUAUUCAUUUGUGCGUGCAUAUAUGAUCUAAUAAAUGCAUCUAAUUCAAACGGACACACUAUAAAAUGAGGAAGAAGGUACAAAGCAAUGUGAAAGCUAGGCAAUUAUUGCCAUAAGCAAAAGAGGAAAUAUACAUGUCUAUUUUCAGUAACAGUUCAUCACCCUAACUGCAGCUCAAUGAAAACGCUAGUCAAUCGAGCAUUUAGCCAUUUGUCAGCAUCCUGAUUUCAUUCAGCACAAUGAAGACAUUAGUGGGACUGUUGCUUUUGCUUCUCAGUUAUUCAGCCUCAGCAGGUAUGUAUGGUUACAAAUCCUUCUUUCAGAGCUAAAGUAAAUGUUUAAAUGGAUGUGGGUCCGCAACAAGUAGAAAAUAUUUAAUCAAAACAUUUAGGAUUGUGGAUCAGUACCUUGAUAUUUCUCUCAAUAUUUCAACAGCUCCAUCUGUCAGUGCUUCAGCUGUCAGUGCUUCAGCUGUCAGUGAUCCAGCUGUCAGUGAUCCAUCUGUCAGUGCUUCAGCUGUCAGUGCUUCAGCUGUCAGUGAUCCAGCUGUCAGUGAUCCAUCUGUCAGUGCUUCAGCUGUCAGUGCUUCAGCUGUCAGUGAUCCAUCUGUCAGUGCUUCAGCUGUCAGUGAUCCAGCUGUCAGUGAUCCAGCUGCCAGGGCUCUAACUGUCAAUGCUUCAGUACUGGAUGGAAAUACAAGUCCUCAAACACGCCGUAACCUUGUCAUCAUGGCCGCCAGUUCUCCCGUUGUGGUCGUGAUACUCUUCUAUGCAAUAGCCCGGGGAUGUGGUGCAACGAACAGCGAAAUCUUAGUAUGUCUUGCUCUAUGCUGUUAUCUCAGAGCGGUAUGAUGUCAGCUGCUUCAAAUUACUGAAUAAAAGGGUUUGGUCUUUGCUCUUUGGGUAUUAAAUAUUUUUUAUUCAUCCUGUGUUUUAAAUAUAUACUAUCUUUUAGCACACUUGUUAUAUCUGUCUUUCUUAUAUCUCUUUUGACACAAAUGUGUAUGCUUGCAUGUUGUAGUCAACCGAUUUUCUUUUUAUGUUUAAUAAAAUGUUCUGUUUAAAGAAAUUCAUAAAAUUGGGUGGUAUCUAUAACCUGCUUUUCUACAAUUAAUGAGCACUGUGGUGCAAACUCUGUCACUUCUGCUUGCAUGACAUGUUCCAUCAAAUAGACCAAAUCAGCUGUUCCUCACAUUACAUAUUGUCAAGAAGACUGAGAUCCCUCGGCUCAGACAAAAGCUUGUAUGUGUGUAUUAGGAUGUGAUGAUUUCACAUCACAAUAAGUGAUGUUGUUUGUAUCAGAGGAUUUAUAAAAACCUCUGCAGUUAAUGAUUAUUCGCAGUUUCCCCGGGGUAUCGUUAAAGUGAGCUUGAAGACUUCUGUUUCACACAGUCGAUUUUUUUUAUACCCACUAGAGAUAAAUUUUUUACUUUUCUUUAAACUCUUACAUUUUGAAUGUGAAUAUUAUUAACUGAUUGAGCUGUUUCAUUUGCCGUUUCUAAAUUGCUUAAUAAAGUAUCUUUUAAAGUUAAUUUUGUGGACAUUCCAUUCUUUUGACGUAAAGGUCGAACUUGGGCAGGAGUAUUAACAUCUACUUUUUUAAAGUUCUUAUAGGUUAUUCUAGUGUUUGAAAGCUAACAGAUCCCUGGGGUCUGUUUUCCAGGCCACCUCUGGUAAAUCUUAGCAAAUUUCCAAGUGCCAAAGAUCGUUAGAGAGGAGCUACAGUUAAUGAAUGUGGCUGUUGAUCAUACUUUACUCAGGGUUGCUAGUAAAGGAUGCAGUUCGCUAAAUGAUUGUGAACUGCGGGGAGGCAUUCAGACAGAGGUAGUGAGUGCUGAGAGAUAAAUAAAAUCUGUUAACCUAUCGUGGUAAUACCCCUGAGAUCAGAGACUCUGAUCCUUUCAACUAGAAAGCCAAUUUUAUGACUAUGCUGCAGUUUCUUUUGGCUAGAACUGAACAAUGAACCACCAGGUGGUGCAGUUGUACAUUUUUAUAUUUAUGUUACAUUUUGGGAAUUUAGGCAGCAUCUUGCAGAGUUAAAUCUUUGGUUUCACCACAUCUCAAAUAAACAUGAUUUUUGGAGGCCAAUGAAGUCUUUGGAAAGAAACCAGUUUGAGAUAAUCUGAGCUUGGUGAAAUGACCCUUCUGAAAACAGCUGAUAGAAACAAUGCAAACUGUAAUCAUGAAUGCACAGAAAUGCUGUGGUAUAUAAAUAAUCCUCAGAUGCCAACAAAGGGAGGAAAGUGUUCCAGACAACAUUCUUCAUACUAUCACAACAUCUACUUGAGUUGUUAGAACAAGGUAGAAGUGACAGUCGUUUACCACGUCUUGAAGAUAUCCUCAGUUGAGGUCAGAAGCGCUCCGUCUUCACUGGACUCAGUGCAAAACGAGAUACAAACUAUUAAAAUAAUAGAAAACAAAGAAACAUUUCACAAAGAGUGAAAAUAAUAUCACAACCAAAACCUUCAUCUUGUG